rnacentral:rRNA from 1 species
UACAGAGGGUGCGAGCGUUAAUCGGAAUUACUGGGCGUAAAGCGCGCGUAGGCGGCUUUGCAAGCCGGAUGUGAAAUCCCCGGGCUUAACCUGGGAACUGCAUUCGGGACUGCAUUGCUAGAGUCCGGAAGAGGCGAGUGGAAUUCCCGGUGUAGCGGUGAAAUGCGCAGAUAUCGGGAGGAACACCAAUGGCGAAGGCAGCUCGCUGGGACGGUACUGACGCUGAGACGCGAAAGCGUGGGGAGCAAACAGG